rnacentral:lncRNA from 1 species
CUUGCUUGGUCUCCUCUCUAGCGGGCGGAGAGUUCCAAUGGUCCAGAUUGCCUGGGCAUCCCUGACCCCUCCGGACCACUUCCCUAGAGGGCAUCCUGUGCCCGACUGCUGGGCUGGCAUUUGCAGAGUACAGAUCUAGGCUGUCUGGAUUAUACUACACAUGAAGAGCCUACUGUUUGCAAAAAUUGACUUUUCUUUCCCGCGGCCACGCUGCAAAGGAUGGAGCUCCAGCAGCGAAGCAGCAGUCACUGGUCUAGCUGAAGAGGAAGGAGCCAGGCUCCUGCUUCGUAACCGAGGCAUCUAGCAUCCAGCCAAAGAACUUUUUUGCCUCUGACUAAGGAGCCACUGGUUAUCGGAGCCGGCUCAAUUGAAUACCCAUUCGGAUGAAAGAGUGAAGUAUAAAAUAACAAGGUAGCACAAAAAGCUGGGAAGAGGGACUCGAUGAGAUCACGUAGACGCCCCCAGGAUCAGAUCCUAAAUGCCGGUAGGGGCUUAUAUAAUCAAUAUUUCUCUGUCUCUUCCUCUCCCUUUCGUUCUCUCACUCCCUCUAUCCCUCACUUUUCCCCUCUGUCCCUUUCUCCUUCCUCCUCUCUCGCCUCUCCCUCUCUUACUUCAGUCUUCUGAAGAGCGAUAUUGCUACAGGCUUGGACCAGGGAGUGACCUGCAGGUGGAACUCUGAAUAUGCUGCCUCUUCUAGAAGGCCUGCUCAGCGUGUCACCUCUUUAUGUCUUCUAAGGAGAGAAUCCAUUGGUAGAGGAGGGAGGGCUAUGUGAGCCGGGGUAAGACAAACUGUUACUAAUAGUCCACCUUGUGCCGGUUAUUCAUUAAGCCUCAGUGUAGCCGCAUAAGAUGCUCAGGCACAGCACGUGACCUAAAGUCUGGGUAAGUUGGUUACUUUACCCAGGCCAUCGGUGGUGUUGGUUAUAGAAGGAUCUGAACCCCAUUCCUACAGCUUUAGAAAUGGCUAAACUUGUGAGUGACUAAACUUUGCUUUCUUUCCUUCUUAUGUUUUGUUUGCUUGCUUUGGUUCUGCCCCCCCAACACCCCGAUAUCCUGGUGUAUCCUGCUUUGUGAAACAACAGAUCUUCAAACACCAGCAUCACAUCCAGAGAGGCCAGAGGGUCCCAAGACAAAACAAGCCGGGGCCAAGACGCACUCAGAGCUCCUAUCUCACCCUCUUAGGGGUGUGCUCGGGGCACCAGAUGGGUUAUUAAAUGUUAUUCUCUUUCUCCCUUUUUGGUUAAGCAGAGGACUGCAGAGGAAAGCCUCUGAAUCAAAUGUUUGCUCCACACAGUUCAACUGAAAUGUAGGUUGUGAUGAGUGGACACGUGCUCCACAGCUAAGAGACCAACCGAGGGCAUCCUAUCCCACUCGUGGGUCUAAGGGGAGACUUACAGAAGGCAUACUUACUCUGAAGAUGGAAUGAUAGCUGAAGAGACAGAGUGAUGCCUAGGGCCUGUCAGACACCCAGUUUAGCCUAAUACAGAAAAGCACGGAGGUGAGAAACAACAGGGUGAAUCCAAGGAAAUUCAACAGGAGCAUGUGAGAGGCAGGAGCCAGGGAGAGUUAGACAUGGCCCGAAACAAGUUCUCCCCUCCACCCUGAGGAAUUCUGGUGCUUCAGCACUGGCUCCUGAAGAAUUGGGGAAACUUCCCAGAAGGUUGUCAGCCUCUCUCCGGCAGGAGCUUUACAGAGGUCUGUGGACACUUCAGAGCACCCACACGGGCCAGAGAAGUAACUGGUCACGAGGCUUCCCCCAGGGGGACUUCCUCACUCAAGCGACACAUUAAACUCUGAGUCAAUGAAUGCCAGAGGUUAGGGGUAAAGAUGACAGCACUUCACCUCAAGCUACCUCCUAGUUUUCAUAAAGUUUGGAAUUGAAGCUGACGAGAUGUAGACUCACCGUAAAGAGCUGGAAGCAGCAAGCAUAUCUGUGGCCCAUGAAAAGGGAGAGGGGGACCAGGAGGGCAUGGGCUGGAGAAGGACGAGGUUGUGUCCAGAGGAAUGGAGCAAUUAAACUUUAAACUAUUCUUUUCAUAAUUCUUGUUUCUGGCUUGAUUUCCCGCCCCCUUAUUAUUAUUUUUUUAGACAGUCUUGCAGCGUAGCUCAGGCUCAAGCCAAUUCUCUCCCCCACCGGCCCUUUAUUAUUUAUUUUUAGACAGUCUUGCUGCGCAGCUCAGGCUGGCCUUCAGUUCCUACCCUGCCUCAGCCUUCCUGAGGCCGAAAGUGCAAGUGUACACCCCGCAUGCCCAGUCUGUUUCCUGUCCUCCUACUGAAGCAGUUCCUACCUUGAGCAUCGUAACAACAAACCCACUGCAAGUCAGAAAUGCACCCAGGGCUGGGGAGAUGGCUCAGCGGUUAAAGGUCUCGGUGCUCAAGCAAAAGAUUGGAUCUCCCAAAUCCACGUAAACUCCAGGUGGGCACAGCAGCUCGCUUGUGUCCCAGCGGUUGAAAGACAGGGUCUCUCCUUGCUCUGGAGCUCCCCACAGAUUGGCUGGCUGUGCAGCCGGCCCCAGAGAUCUUGCGCUCUCUGCUUCUUCAGCCCUAGGGUUACAAGCAUGUACCACCACACCUGUCUUCUUUAUCUGGGCUCCGAGCAUAAGGCUCAGGUCCCUGUAGUUGCAUGGCGAGCACUUCACAUUCUGAAUCUCCCUCUAGCACAUGAAAGGCAGAGGCAGGAAGAUCCAUGAGUUCGAGGCCAAUCUAGUGUAGAGAGUUCCAGUCCUGCCAAGAUGACAUAGAAAAAAAGACAGGGUGCAGGAGAGAUGGCUCAGCAGUAACAAGUACUUGCUGCUCUUGUAGAGGACCUUUGUCCAGUUCCCUGCACCCUUACGACAGCUCACAACUUUCUGAAACUCCAGUUCCAGGGGAUCCAGCGACCUCUUCUGGCCCUUAGGUACAAGGCAUGCUCCCAUAUACACACAUAGUCAAAACACACUUGAAUAGUAUUUACAUUUUAAUUAGGUUUUAUUUAUUUGUUUGCUUGUUUUGUUUUGUUUUCAAAACAGGGUUACUCUGUGUAUCAGUGGCUGCCCUGGAACUCACUCUGUAGACCAGGAUAGCCUUAAACUCAGAGAUUCACCUGCCUCUGUCUCCAGAGGGUUAGGACUGAAGGCGUGCACCACCACUGCCUGGGCAAAACAAUUUUUUAAAAUGACAUGUUGGAAGAAUUUAACUACAGCUGGUAGCAUUAGCAACAAUCGCCAAGUUAUGCAUGCUCCACAAUACUACAAUUCUAUGCAAAAUAUUUACCUGAAGAUAGGCUGGCAAAGUGGCUCAUCUGAUGCGGGUGCUUGCCACCAAGCCCGUUGACCUGAGUCCAAUCCCUAGGACCCAAUGGAGAAUAGCAGUGAGUCCUGCAGGUUUCCCUCUGAUUUCUACACCUGCCUUGGUACGUGUGUGUGACCAUACACACACAAAUGAAUAAAUUUAAAAUUCUUAGUU